rnacentral:rRNA from 1 species
CUAGUAAUGGCAGGUCAGCAUACUGCCGUGAAUACGUUCCCGGGCCUUGUACACACCGCCCGUCACACCAUGAGAGUUGGGAAUACCCGAAGCCUGUGAGCUAACUUAUAGAGGCAGCAGUCGAAGGUAGAAUCAAUGAUUGGGGUGAAGUCGUAACAAGGUAAC